rnacentral:rRNA from 1 species
GGCUAACGCUGGCGGCGUGUCUUAGCCAUGCAAGUCGAGCGGACUUAUGGGGUAACUUAUAAGUCAGCGGCGGACGGCGGAGUAACACGUAGCUAACCUACCCUCUGGACGGGGAUAACCUACCGAAAGGUGGGCUAAUACCCGAUGUAGUCAUCCUGUAUAGGGGUGAUGAAAGGUGGGCUUCUGUUUACAAGCUCAUGCUGGAGGAGGGGGCUGCGGCCUAUCAGGUAGUUGGUAGGGUAAUAGCCUACCAAGCCGAUGACGGGUAGCCGGCCUGAGAGGGUGACCGGCCCGAGGGGCACUGAGAUACGGGUCCCACUCCUACGGGAGGCAGCAGGCUAGAAAUUUGGGCAAUGGGGGAAACCCUGACCCAGUGACGCCGCGUGCAGGAAGGAGCCCUUCGGGGUGGUAAACUGCUGUCGUGUAGGGAGAAGGGUACUAAGGUGAACAAUCUUAGUACUUGACGGUACUACAGGAGGAAGCCCAGGCUAACCUCGUG